CACCACAGCCACAGCAACGCCAGAUCCAAGCCGCAUCUGUGACCUACACCACAGCUCAUGGCAAUGCUGGAUCCUCAACCCACUGAGUGAGGCUCGGGAUUGAACUCAUGUCCUCAUAGAUACUAGUUGGAUUUGUUAACCACUGAGCCAUGAUGGGAACUCCUAUAGGAGAAGGUGGUCGACCUGUUGUCCAUUUUCACCCGCUGGGACAAAUAAAUGGAGUAAGAAGCUGAAGGUCAGGUCCGCUGCAUAGUCCUUGAUGCUGGACUACGGGGAACGUCUGGGCUGAGCAUGGAAGUGGUCCGCUUCCUCCAGCUCACCCCUUCCGAGAAAUCUGCUAGGGCCUGGAAUCCCUGUCCUGACCUGUCUGAGAAGAAUGGAAACUCUGGGUGGAAAUGGAGUUGACAGGGGCUCGGGGUCAUGCGCGGCCUAAAUAAAGGAAGAAGGAGGGCAGUCAGCCUGUCAGACCCCAGCGCUCUGCCCAGGCAAAGGCUACUGACAGCCCUCCCUGAGGCUCACGCCAGUGGGUACUGUGCGGGACUGGCCUCUCUGGUGAAUUUCUCACCGACUUGCAGGGCUUGGUGGGUAUGGUGACUCACCUCUGGUCACCAGCAGAGGGCAGUGUCCAGAGUCCACGCCUCCUGCCUCACCCCUUGCUCCUUUCUCUGUCAAUGCCAGGUUAGCAGUUGACAGUUUACGGGAAGUGCCCCGAAGUGUCAGGAUCAGUAAAUGGGAAGAGGAUUUAGGAAGCAAGUGCAAGCCUAACCCACAGAGCAGAUUAUGCAGUUACACUGUUAUUACUUUGGGACGUAGUUACUCUUAAUGCUAACAAAUCUUGGGGAAAUGUAAUUACCGUGUAGCCUCUGUAUAUCACCAGAUCGCAGGAAGUAGAUCAGUGGGCACCCCACUCAGCCCCUGGGGGCUGGAGCAGAGUUAGAAUCUGUGCUGUUUCUUCUUGGCUUUAUCUUCUUUCCUAUAAAAUCUCUUGGGGAGCCUCCCCAGGAGGUGGCUCCCUGCUUUCAAUCUCAUUUUCUGAUAUCUGGCUCUGAAUCUCCCAUAAUUGAAUUUUGUCUGGGUCUGUCUCCCAGUCAUUCCUCUUGGCUUACUCGCCUUUCACUUGGGGAUGCCUUGCAGCAGGACCCAUCCCUGGGCUGGGAGAGUUGGGGUGCACUGGGUUGCCAGAGCAGAUGCACAACAUUCAUUAGAAAUAAUGACCACUGAGACAAAAGUCACUAGCAGUCCUUUAAUAUCCAUUCUUCUCUGCUUUUUUAGCGACUACUACUAAAGUAUGUCCUAUAUUGGUAGAAAAUAAGGCUGCCCAGAAAAAGCUCCAUAUUCCCAUCAUCCCUGGCAGCUGUGAUCACCCCCUGGCCAACAGGAUGGGAGUAAAAGGGAUGUGGAUAACUUCUGGACCAUUCCCUUCAAAGAAAGAGAGAAGUGCCUUCCUCCUAUUUCUCUCCUUCCCAUUGACUGGAAUUUGGGCACAUCACUAGGAUCUGGAGUGGCCACUGCGGGUCAGUGAUGGGAGUCACCCUCUACUGCCUGCCUCCCGACUGUCUGAGACACAGAAAUGACAAUUCGGGGUUUAUGACACUGUUAAGUUGGGUCUUUGUCAUGUGGCCCUAAACAGGACUCUGCUAUGGAGCCCUUUAGUGGAGAGCCUUCUAGGCAGGCUCUCCAUGGGUAAAAGCUUAGUAGGAGCUGGGGCCCAACUCCACUGACUUUGGGGUCAUCUUUUGCAGCAAUCCCUUCCAAAUCAGGCUUGGCCCCGCAUUUCUCCUUUGUUUCUUUGUUGGGGUUGCCGCUCUGGGGACAUACUCUCAGAGGUCAUUCAUACUCAGGGCUCCUGGGAUUGACAUUUGAGAGCAUGACGAGGUAGGAGGAGGGGGGUUGGGGCCCGGGAGUCCUGUCCUGACCCCCCAACACACUCCCCUUCCUGGCAUCGUCUGGCAGAGAGGAAAGAGGGCCGGGCUGGGUUUGAGAGCUGAGUCUGGCUCUGUCAUUAACCAGCUGUGUGUUUUUGAACAACUCUCUUCCUUCCGGAGCCAAAUCAGGGAGUUAGGCUGGAUGAUGGCUGGAAUUCCUUCCAACCUGGCAUUCAGUAAUGUGACAACUCCGUACCAGCCUUCAGACUGUGGUGGCAUCUUCAACACGUGAAGCAAGCGACCUCAGGAAGGUCCGUGUGUAUCUACAGUCAGGGCAGAGCAGCAGCGCCCACUUCUUAUCAUUUGCUGAGCUCUGAAGGGCUCUCUGGUGGAGGGGGUGGGGACAGGGCAUGGGGUGCAGGGGCAUUAUAAAGGUGACAGCUGGCAGGGUCAUCCCUUGAGGAGUCUAGUCUCUCUGGAGCCACAUGACACACACAUGGGAUCUGUGAGAAUAGCCUAGUAGUUACUCAAGAAAUGUGCCCCUAAGGAGGGGCCAAAGCACAGGUUGGGGUGGGGAGGGGAGCAUGGUGCCCUCAGCACAGGACUGAAGUCUGCCUGCCCUGUCCUUGCUAUAUGACCUUGAAUAUGUUUCCAAGCUUUUGAGCCUCAGUUCCUCACUUGUCGAGUCAGGAUGACAGAAGCAGCCCCCUUCUUUUUGCACACCCCAUGUGCAGUGUUCAUGAAGCCCCGACCCGUGGUAGAUGCUGAGUGAAUUCAGUUUCUGUCUCGCUCGCUCACUCCCUUUCUUCUCUGAAAACAUCAGGCUCUGAUUAAUUCUCCCACUUCGUUUACAGCUGACAUUCCACCUCUCUUGGCUUCUGUCCCCUGAAUCGUUCCUCUCUUUUCCUGUAUCUUUUCUUCCCUGCAACUCUGCACCGCCCACCCCCCCUUCCCCAGCAAAGUCCUCCCAUCAUCCUUUGCAGAGGGCAAGGACAGGUGGGGUUAGAGAGAUGCCCAGUGAUAUUUCAGAAGCUCUAAUUAAGGGGAAGAUUAUGCAUGCCAUUUGAGUUUCGAAAAGGAUUCAGAUCAGAAUGAAUAAAAUGCUAACUUUCCCCCUGUCUAACCCACUCACCCUGGGGCAAAAGGAACCAUAACUCAGUUUCUCCAGGAAGGGCAUCCAACAGCAGGUCAUCCUGGUCCACGGGACCACAGAAGCAGUGCUGACAGUCUCGGUAAGUAUCACUUCUGCUCGGCAGCCUGCCUCUCACCACCACAGCUAGAUGGGGACAGGAAAGGGUGACGGCCUUGUGCUGCGUUCUGCCUUCUGUGGAGGCUCUGGAUGUCUGUGCUACAAACAGGUGGCAGUGUGGCUUCAGGGCUGUGCUGCUCCCGGUGUGCUCUCGGCAGAUGCGCCUUCCCCAGGGGUGCUGAGGACCUUCUCCCCGCCUGCCCAUCGCCGAUGCCCACCUCCUUCUCCGUGCCACCUCCCCUGCUCGGGAGGCCCCUGCCGGCCCUCAGUGAGCCAGUGACAACUGGACCUCAAUCCUGAAAACAAUUCCCCACUCAUCCCCGGGGUCUCAGUUUACAUGAUUGUCGGUAGCACCCUCGCCCUCUCUCUGAACAUGCAGGCCCUGGACACGGGGCGUGUAAGUUAUUGCACACACGAUUGGGACGUAAUAAUUCAGGGGCCUCGAGGGGCCCCAUCAACAUGGCUCCUCCACAGUCCUACUUCCGGACCCAAAGGGGCAAGUCUCCUUAAGACUGGGCCUUGGGCCAAGGGCCCCACACUCCUGGAUCUUCUGUCAUGAACUAGUUGGGUGUCAUUUCCAUCAAUACAUCAGCUCUGUUUGUUAAGUGCAAGAGUUCCUUGCUGUCAUUUGAAGGAUUGUGGGGUAUAAUCAAAUAGUGCACAGGUAGAAAAGUACAAGGAGUCAGUUUAGAGCUAUAGUACAAAGGGACAACCGUGACAUGCUCGAGAUGGAGAAAGGAUGCCAUUCUCUAAAGAUCAGAGGCUGAUAAAAAGCAUCUAAAGUCUUCCAGCCUUCUGUGGCCAGAUUAAUAACUUGGAAGCUCUCCAUGGUUACCAGAUGCCCCUGGCCGACCACAGACCAUGGUUCUGUAAAACUCUUUUGACUGGCUAGGUAGCAGUCCCCAACUGUACAAUGAAGGCUAGGAUGAUGGUCAACCUUCAGGGGCUGAAGCAAGGAGAGUCUUGGCCCAAGUGUCAUCAAGUUCAUCUGUGAAUUUAUCUACUUACUAGAAUCCCCCCGAGUUCAUAAACGUGGUGUCCUUUCCCACCCUCUUCCCAGUAUUUCUUCUUUCUGGGGCAGUUCCCAGUGCAGACAGCUCAGGGCAAAGAAAAACCUGGACCGACGCAUCCCGUCCUCCUGAGUACCUAUCGCGGGGCCUCUUACAGCCGGCAAGCCCAUUGCUGCACCUGCUCCACGGCCCUCGCUGAGCGCUUGGCAGGCGAAUUAUUAAGGAAUUAUCGUGGGGCUUUUCCUCAGGCUGUGUGCCAGCAGGGCUGUGGCCCCAGCAUUUGGCUGUGGAAUAAAAGAUGCUCUGAUAAUUGCUGGGGCACCGUUACUUACUUCUACAACUAUUUUUAUUAAAGAAAGCCUUUUUUCUUAGGGCUCCAGGAAGAAGGCACUACCAUCAUUUUCUUUGCUGUCUCCCUUUAAUGAGGUCCAGGGUCAGGCAAAGGGAGUCAGACAGGUUUAGAAGGAGCCACACGGCAACAAAAUCGACCUCAGCCUGGAGAGCUGGACACCCUUCACUCCUCGGGGUGAUUAACUCUUCCCCCUCCUGCAGGCUGGCUGAACGGUGAUUGUAAACAGGCACGCACUAGGUUCAAGCUCCCCAUUUUUUUCCCAGUUAAAACUCCUCCCUGGAUCAGGAGGCAUUUCCCCUGCCCUUCCCUCCAAGCCCCCUCAUCUGGUAGUUUACACUUUAGGUUACAGAACCAUUGCCAGCAAUCCGAGCGUGGAGGCUGGAAGGAAGCUUUCCCUGGAGUCCAUUCACCUCCUUGCUCUGCUAUUUAGUUCCAACCCCCAUAACCCCUUGCGUUCGCCAGCCCUCCGGGGGUGGCAUCUAGGGAUCAUUUCAUCCCUACCCUUGUGAGUGGGUUAAAAUGAUCAUCUCCCAGGAUGCCUACGCCAACUGGAGUCUCCCCCCACCACCUCCUCCCCUGUCUUCUUGGCCCUCGGUUGGCUGAGAACAGUAGGAGCCUGUAACAGACAGCAUGUCAUCCGUUCCUGACAGCCUUGGUGCUGUAAUACGGGGCUGCCAAACCCAUUACAGUAAUGACAGCAUUGCAGAAUUAGAACGCUCACUCCUACAUAGAGAAGAAAAAAAAAAAAAUUGGGAGAGAGGGGGCCGGGUGGAAAUCUUGUGCUAUUUUGCUUGUUUUCUCUCUUUUCUCCUCCUCAGAUGUGGCAUCCUUCCUCUUUCGUUUUCUUUUAUUCCAUGAAAAAGAUAAACAAGCAGGCAACCAUAUAUCCUGAACCCAGCCAAGUUUUCCAAGAGGGGCGGCGGCAUCGGAAAGAGAUUACUGUGCCUCAUGGUGGAGCUAGCAGUGUGGUGCUAUGAUCAUUUCCCCCGAAAAGGGGCCUGUUCAUGGACGCUCUCUGCCGGGGCUUUCGUGGCCUCAACAGGCACGUCUGGAAUUCGCUUUCUGCCGCGGGCAGGGGAAGGGGUAUUGCAGAACCUAAUGAUCAUCUUCCUGACGGGGAUCACGGAGUGCUUUGAUAAUCAUGAUGAUGAAAGUGAUUUGUUCACGAUAAUUAGUGCCUAGGACUUCCUCGUGGAGGCAGGAGAAAGCCAUUGCUCCAUCUGGCAUAUGGGCAAACUGAGGCACGGAGAGCUGGGUCAAGGGCAGAGCACUAAUUCUCUCUGGCCACAAGGGACUGGUCCAGGCACAGAGAGGGAGGAGUCUGCAUAGGGGAGGGGGCUUGGGGGGGUCCUGCUUUUCGGGAAGGGGAACCUUCAACAUGAGAUAUGCAGGCUGGUUUAACACAACUAAGAGACGUGCAGGACCCAGGCUCCCAGAGCUCUGCUGAGUGUGGAUGUUUACGAACAAGGCUACAAGCAUACUGGUGCGAGUGCUGGGUUUUUCAGGGGAUGCCAGGCUCAAAUGAGGGAGGAGCAUCCACUUGGACAUGGGAAGAGACGGCAAGCUAGAAA
rnacentral:lncRNA from 1 species